CUCUGGUUACCAGAGAAAGAACAGCCUCUCCUGAACAUCAUGGUGGCUGCUUGAGAGCUAUCCUUGUGCCAGGAGAUGUCUGAAGACAUUAAUUUCGGAAGGCUGGUUUCAGUCAAACCUUUCACAGCCUUAAGAUGAAAUGUAAAAAUUGAAACAAAAUAUCAAGAGCAGGGAUGAAAGGAAGACAUAUCCAAAAAUAGAUCCAUGCCCUUAAGAUUUAGCACAUGCUCCAGUCACACUGCCCAAGUCAGAGCCAGAAAGAC